GUCUCUGUGGAGCAACAGGUCAGCACAUUCAGCUGUUAGCAGAGAGGUUGGUGGUUCAAACCCCCCCAGAGAUG
rfam:Tetraodon nigroviridis, WGS project CAAE01000000 data, contig: CNS0BXQG, chromosome: undetermined